rnacentral:rRNA from 1 species
AUUGAACGCUGGCGGCAGGCCUAACACAUGCAAGUCGAGCGGUAGAGAGGUGCUUGCAUCUCUUGAGAGCGGCGGACGGGUGAGUAAUGCCUAGGAAUCUGCCUAGUGGUGGGGGAUAACGUUCGGAAACGGACGCUAAUACCGCAUACGUCCUACGGGAGAAAGCGGGGGGAUCUUCGGACCUCGCGCCAUUAGAUGAGCCUAGGUCGGAUUAGCUAGUUGGUGAGGUAAUGGCUCACCAAGGCGACGAGUCCGUAACUGGUCUGAGAGGAUGAUCAGUCACACUGGAACUGAGACACGGUCCAGACUCCUACGGGAGGCAGCAGUGGGGAAUAUUGGACAAUGGGCGAAAGCCUGAUCAGCCAUGCCGCGUGUGUGUAAGAAGGU